rnacentral:rRNA from 1 species
AUGGCCGCCAAUCCCUCCAACUUCAAGAUCACUCGUUAUUUUGGUCCACCAUAUGCAGAGAACGCCAAGCUUGACUUCAACCACCUUUACUUGCACCAGAUCUUUUCCGGGCCAAACCCAAACCAAGAGCAAAUAGUUGCUGGAAAUCCCACGACUCGGUUUGGUAAGACAGAGGUUAACAACUGGCCAAUAUAUGAUGGUGUUGGGCCAAAUGCAAAGCUCGUUGCCCGGGCGCAAGGCACGCAUGUGAAUGUCAGCGGCUGGUACACCUCAUUCACGAUGGUCUUCGUGGUUGAAAGGUUUAAGGGCUCCACGCUUCAAAUAACGGGAACAACAAUUGAAAAAGAUAGUGAAUGGGCCAUUGUUGGCCGGACAGGUGAGUUUGUAAUGGCUCGUGGUGUCAUAGCGAGAAAAGUGCAAUCAAUACAAGAUGGAGAAAGGCACGAACUAACUAUCGACGCGAUCUGCCGCAUGAAGAACCAGCCCAUUCAUACAACGCUUGGACCAUGGGGUACCCAAGGGACAAACAAACAUGACAUUCAGGAUAAACCUGCACGUCUAUAUAGUGUGGAAAUUCGGUAUGGCAGUCUCAUUGAUGCGAUCUCAUUUUCCUACAUUGACCAAUCUGGGCAGUUUCGCACAGCAGGUCGUUGGGGUGGAGGCGGUGGGAAAGAAACUAAGAUCCAACUAGGUCCCGGUGAGGUUGUGAAGGAAGUAUCCGGGACGGUGGAUGGCGGUUUCGUAUCCUCACUUAAGCUGGUCACCGACAUCAGAACAUAUGGACCUUUUGGAGAAAAACGUGGCACCUCUUUCAGUGCACCCGUGCCCCUGAAUGGCCACGUUGUGGGAUUCUUCGGGAGUUCAGGCGCAAAACGUGACUUAGUGAAUUCCAUUGGUGUUUACACGGUCUCUUAA